ACCGAUACACGAAGGUGAAAGCCGGCCAGGAGCCGAAUCUCGAGGACCUAUCUGAAAAUCUGGAAUGGCCCUUUCACCUUCCCUCGAUA